UGAGAAACCUGGUCCAUAUCCGAUAACCUCUCUUAAGCGUCCAAGUGAUGGAGUUGGGGAUGGAUUUGUUACUUCCAUUAGGGGCCUCUUCAACACUCAACGGCGUAAAGCCAAACAAUUUGUGCUACAAACUAUGAGGGGUGAAGCAGAGAAUGAUUUCCAUGGAGAGUGGAGUGAAAGUGAAGCAGAAUUCUCUCCAUUUGCCAGGUAGCUGACCAUAACCAAAGCCAAGAAACUUAUUAGGCUGCACACAAAGAAGUUCCGCUCAAGGGGAGAGAAAGGUUCAUCUUCUCAACAGAGAGAAUCACUUCCAUCAUCGCCAAUGGAUCCGAUGGAGAUCACUUCAUUUGAAACCGACUCUUCUAGUGGAUCCUCACCAUAUGAGGAUUUUCAUGAAUAGACUGUCUCAUCAACUGAUAAGGAUUGUGUGAAGGCCUUAAUUGGAGCAAACAGUAUGUGAUCUGCAAAUAUAUGCCCAAUUUACUUCAGAAGACAAGACUGCAUUUUGACUAACAUUUAAGCAUGCAUGAAGACAGACUCGUUGCUGAUCUUCAAACAAAACACGGUUGGAGAUCAGCGAGCUCAAGGAACAUGAAGGAUGCCUGCUUGGUUAUUGACCAUGGAUAUACCGCUUGAUGGUACCCUUCUAUUCUGGGUGAUUGAUCUUUAGAUGCAUGGGUUAGAUCACAUUUGCUCUUAAUGACCCUCUACCCAUUUGGCCUGAUAGAGACCAAGUGAUUGAAGCAGAGGUUCAAAUUCAUAAUUUUUGUAGGUUGGGUAGAAAAAUAUAAACAGAUUAUACGACCCACCAAGUACUAUAAUUUUGUACAUACAUUAAAAAUAAUUUAUAUUUUGGAAUAGAAAUAAAUGUG